GCUGCAUCUCUUUGGGUCUGUGCUCCUCCUGUGUCCCCGUUUGAGGACGUGUCUUCAAGGGAAAUGCAGCUGUGAUACCCGCCAUGAAGUUGACCUUUCUCGUUUUGCUGGAGGGAAGGGCCGGUCAGCUGCAAGUUACUACGCACGCACACAUCACUUACGACAACAGAUACGUUUUUCACUGUACUUGUGAUAAAAUUAUGAAGGAAAGCAA